CUUGUUUAUCAAAAACAUGUCCUUUUGAUGUUUAUUUAAGGUCUAAUCUGCCCACUGAUAUUAAUUGAAGGGCCGCGGUAUUUUAACCGUGCAAAGGUAGCAUAAUCAUUAGUUUUUUAAUUGAAGGCUUGUAUGAAUGAUUGGACGAGAUAUUGGCUGUUUCAUAUAAAAUUUAAUAGAAUUUUAUUUUUUAGUUAAAAAGCUAAAAUUUAAAUAAAAGACGAGAAGACCCUAUAGAUCUUAAUAAUUUAUAUAUUUUAUUUAUAUAGAAAAUUUAAAGUAUUAUACUUAUAAUUAUUUUAUUGGGGUGAUAAUAAAAUUUAAUAAACUUUUAUAUAAAUUUUACAUUAAUUAAUGAUUAAUUGAUCCAUUAUUAGUGAUUAAUAAAUUAAGUUACCUUAGGGAUAACAGCGUAAUUUUUUUAGAGAGUUCAUAUCGAUAAAAAAGAUUGCGACCUCGAUGUUGGAUUAAGAGAUAAAGUUGGGUGUAGAAGUUCAAAUAUUUAGGUCUGUUCGACCUUUAAUUUCUUACAUGAUCUGAGUUCAA
rnacentral:rRNA from 1 species